UGGACUUUGGGGAAGUUUUGACAGAAUUCUGAUGGUCAGAAAACAGCGUUUUAGUUUGUCGAAAUUUACAGUUUGCUUACAAUUUAGUAGUACCAAACGGCCGAAGACGUAUUUAAUUAACUAUACUGUAUAUUUGAGAAGUUGCAGGAAAGUAUGGGUAAUAUGAUUUUUUUUUUGGACAAUGUAGCCGCUUAAAAUUAAUCAAUUGUCAGUAUUUUAAAGGUAUAUUAUUUAAAUGAUAAAGGUCUGCAUGAUUUUGAAAAAAGAAUAAUUACCAAAUUAUUGGGAGGGCUGCAGUACCUCCCCAUAAAUGCCAUAAUUCAUAAAUCAGUUUAUACUGACAAUACAAUUUUAUAAUAUUUUCUCUGUUUAACAACUAAAAUUUUGUUCUACUGAUAUUAUUGCCGUAAUUUUCCAAAUGGCCAGCCUGAUUCUCCGAAUGUUGAUUCUAAAAAUGUUGGGGGGGGGGGGUCCAAUACCCCCGCCCUCGCUAUGGCCCUGGGAGUAUCAUUGUAUCCUCUCACUGGUGAAGCCGUUCUUUUCAAAUUAUUUGACAUAGUUAUAAGAGUAGACAAUUAUAAUAUAAACUACCAACUAAAGAUAUAUACAAAACUUGCUAGACCAAAUUUUAUGUCUAUUUAAAUGUGUACUUUUAGAUAUUUGAUAUUGAACCAAUUUAUAUCAAAGUCGUUUUGGCUUGUUUUUCUCAGUGUCUUUUUAGUUAUAUUAUCUGUGUUGUAUAGUUAAUUUAAAAUGCAAAGUGUUUGUUUACCCUUUUUAAAUUUAUUUUGCAAUAAAUAAAUAAAUUUCGCAAUUUUCAUCGUCGCCGUCGGUAUUUAAUUUUGUGUC